UACGUAGGGACCGAGCGUUGUCCGGAAUCAUUGGGCGUAAAGAGCGUGUAGGCGGCCAUUUAAGUCCUGCGUGAAAUCCUGCGGCUCAACCGCAGGCGGUCGUGGGAAACUGGAUGGCUAGAGUGCGGGAGAGGAGAGUGGAAUUCCUGGUGUAGCGGUGGAAUGCGCAGAUAUCAGGAAGAACACCCGGUGGCGAAGGCGGCUCCUCGUGGAACGCAACUGACGCUGAGACGGCGAAAGCGUGGGGAGCAAACAGG
rnacentral:rRNA from 1 species